GGCGAACGGGUGAGGAACACGUGAGAAACCUGCCUUUCAUUUUGGGAUAACUCCGGGAAACCGGGGCUAAAACCGAAUACUCCGUCUCGGCGGCAUCGCUGAGCCGGGAAAAAAUUUUGAUGAAAGAUGGUCUCGCGGCCUAUCAGCUAGUUGGUGAGGUAAUGGCUCACCAAGGCAACGACGGGUAGCCGGCCUGAGAGGGCGACCGGCCACACUGGGACUGAGACACGGCCCAGACUCCUACGGGAGGCAGCAGUGGGGAAUAUUGGGCAAUGGGCGCAAGCCUGACCCAGCGACGCCGCGUGAGGGAUGAAGGCCUUCGGGUUGUAAACCUCUUUCAGUAGGGAAGAAGCGAAAGUGACGGUACCUAAAGAAGAAGCACCGGCUAACUAUGUGCCAGCAGCCGCGGUAAUACAUAGGGUGCAAGCGUUGUCCGGAAUUAUUGGGCGUAAAGAGCUCGUAGGUCGUUUGCCGCGUCGAUUGUGAAAAUCUGAGGCUCAACCUCAGACCUGCAGUCGAUACGGGCAAACUAGAGUGUGGUAGGGGAGACUGGAAUUCCUGGUGUAGCGGUGGAAUGCGCAGAUAUCAGGAGGAACACCAAAGGCGAAGGCAGGUCUCUGGGCCAUAACUGACACUGAGGAGCGAAAGCGCGGGGAGCGAACAGGAUU
rnacentral:rRNA from 1 species